rnacentral:rRNA from 1 species
AUACGGAGGGGGCUAGCGUUGUUCGGAAUUACUGGGCGUAAAGCGCGCGUAGGCGGCUUAUCAAGUUAGGCGUGAAAGGCCUGGGCUCAACCCGGGAACUGCGCUUAAUACUGGUAGACUAGAGUCCGGGAGAGGAUGGCGGAAUUCCCAGUGUAGAGGUGAAAUUCGUAGAUAUUGGGAAGAACACCAGUGGCGAAGGCGGCCAUCUGGUCCGGCACUGACGCUGAGGCGCGAAAGCGUGGGGAGCAAACAGGAUUAGAAACCCCGGUAGUCC